rnacentral:rRNA from 1 species
GAUGAACGCUGGCGGCGUGCCUAAUACAUGCAAGUCGAGCGAACAGACGAGAAGCUUGCUUCUUUGAUGUUAGCGGCGGACGGGUGAGUAACACGUGGAUAACCUACCUAUAAGACUGGGAUAACUUCGGGAAACCGUAGCUAAUACCGGAUAAUAUUUUGAACCGCAUGGUUCAAAAGUGAAAGACGGUCUUGCUGUCACUUAUAGAUGGAUCCGCGCUGCAUUAGCUAGUUGGUAAGGUAACGGCUUACCAAGGCAACGAUGCAUAGCCGACCUGAGAGGGUGAUCGGCCACACUGGAACUGAGACACGGUCCAGACUCCUACGGGAGGCAGCAGUAGGGAAUCUUCCGCAAUGGGCGAAAGCCUGACGGAGCAACGCCGCGUGAGUGAUGAAGGUCUUCGGAUCGUAAAACUCUGUUAUUAGGGAAGAACAUAUGUGUAAGUAACUGUGCACAUCUUGACGGUACCUAAUCAGAAAGCCACGGCUAACUACGUG